ACGCAUUAGCGACGCUCGCCUCUA
rnacentral:siRNA from 1 species